GAGCCUUCAUCACGGUGCUGUGGAGUUGAACUCAGGAAGCACCGGCGCCCAGUCAGGGUACACGUCCAGAGAGAAUAAGGGGACUCCCCACGUGGCCACGGCCAACAGGACAGCCAGGACGCCGAUCACAUUGACGCCGAGCCCCGCCUUCACCUGCAGCGGCCAUCAGGCGAACACGAUGGCGUUUGGCGGGUUGGACACUGGGAGCAGGAAGGAGAAGGACGUGCACAGGGUGGUGGGGAUCAGGACGUACAGCGGGUUGACGUGGAUGGCCUCCGCCUGAAGGGAACACAAACAUCUGUAUGUAUGUUCUGUCCCAUUAGCCAAGUAUGCAAGAAUAUGGGGAAGUGCGGGAUGAAGAGUAAGAACAGAACCGAAGG